CGCGUAGGCGGCUCGAAAAGUCAGGGGUGAAAUCCGGCAGCUUAACUGUCGCAGUGCCUUUGAUACUGUCGAGCUCGAGGGAGGUAGGGGUCUGUGGAACUUCCGGUGGAGCGGUGAAAUGCGUUGAUAUCGGAAGGAACGCCGGUGGCGAAAGCGACGGACUGGAUCUCUUCUGACGCUGAGGCGCGAAAGCCGGGGGAGCAAACG
rnacentral:rRNA from 1 species